rnacentral:misc_RNA from 1 species
CCUGCAACUAGUCCAAGAGGCGAACUCGGCCGCUGCCUCGGGAAGCGGCGCGGAGUCUGACGCUCACUCAGUGCAGCAGAGAGUCUACAAAAAAAAAGCACGAAACGGACCCGCACGCUCCGCUGCUGCGUCGCCACCCCGGCUGCUGCUGCUACUUUCGAGGUUUCUUCUGAUAAGUGCUCGCUGCCAUGUAAUGAUGCGUGCAUCUCAGCCAUGUCGCGAUGCCCCACUGUGCAAUAUCGCUCGCGGGCUGCAGCGCAUUGCUUCGGCAAUGCUCGCGAGAACUCGUGGGUCGGAGGCUGGCGUGGUCUCUGGUGCCGCGUCCGCUGCGUCAUGGACAGCAAACUCGGCGGAUGGAUCAGUAGAUCCUGAAGUUGCGCAGCGUUACACGUCUUCUUCCUUGACGCUGCCGGUGGAUGUGGCAGAGGAUUUGUCGCAGCCAACGACGCCCAAGGAUAUGCAGUACAAGCGUGUGCCGUCCUCGCGGGUUGGUCGCGCGGCAGGCUUUGCCUCGCUCUUCAUGCAACUUGGCUGGGAGAAGAUGGCCGGCAGUAUUCCAGCGAGCGGGUUGCUCUCCGAGCGCGGCCAUCAGCACAUUGUCGACACUCUGUGUCGCAUGCGGGGUGCCGUGCUGAAGCUGGGCCAGAUGCUGAGUAUCCAGGACGAGAGCACGAUUCCACCUCACGUCGCGGCCCUCUUUGAACGGGUGCGCGAUCAGGCGUUUGCGAUGCCGCCCGCGCAGCUUCACCACACGCUUGCCAAGGAGUUCGGCAACGCAAACUGGCGCACCGAUCUGUUCGACGCCUUUGACGAUACCCCCGUAGCAGCGGCGAGCAUUGGCCAAGUGCAUCGUGCAACCUUGAGGCCAGGAGCCGCGGGAACUGACCCGACAGAGCCCCCCGUAGUGGUCGCGGUAAAGGUGCAGUACCCAGGUGUGGCGCAAAGCAUCGACUCGGAUGUGGCGAACCUGAAGAUGCUCAUGUCUUUCGGUGUGCUGCCGCCGGGUAUGUUCGUGGACAAGAUUCUGCAAGAGCUGCGCAAGGAGCUUAGCGCCGAAUGUCGGUACACCCUGGAGGCAUCGAAGCAGAUGAGGUACCGCGACCUGGUCGCCGCUGACCCCGCUCUCUCAAGCCUCUUCUACGUCCCCAAAGUCUACCAAGCCAUCACCACUGAUCAGGUACUCGUCAGCGAGUAUGUGCGCGGAGUCACAAUCGACCAGAUCGGCAAGCGGCCUGAUGUUCCGCAGGAGCUGCGCAACUACAUUGCUGAGAACUUCAUGGCGUUGACACUGAAAGAGUUGUUUGUGUGGCGGUUCAUGCAGACGGAUCCGAACUUCUCCAACUUUCUGUAUAACGCAAAGGACAAGCGAGUGUAUCUGCUUGACUUUGGCGCGUCUCGCGAGUAUUCGAGAGAGUUCGUGGACGAUUACCUCGAUGUCGUCACGGCAGCCGCCACCAAAGAUUGCGAGUCGAUCAUCGCGAAGAGCAUCACGCUGGGCUUUCUCACGGGCCAGGAGGUGCAGGAGAUGCUCGACGCGCACUGCGCCAGUGUGCUACUGCUGGGUAAGCCGUUCCAGGAUCGAGCGCACCCCUUCGACUUUGCCGCCCAGAGCUUGCCGUGCCUCAUUCAGGCAAAUGUGCCGACUAUGGUGAAGCUUCGCCUGCGCCCACCACCGUCGCCGGUGUACUCGCUGCACCGGCGCCUCAGCGGCGCCAUCCUCCUCGCGACCAAGUUCAAGGCGACCAUUCAGAGCGGAAGGCUCUUCUGGGACAUCCAUGAUCAGCUGCGGAAGUGAGCUUCGCUUCGUUUAAUAAGAAAAAAACGAAAACGGAGGCCGUUGCUGGCGCUGCGAUGCCGUGACCGGUGAACGGGUUGAUUCUAGCAGCAGCCGUACUGUGCUUCACGGAGAAGAGUGCGAGGCGCCCAAGGAGGGAGCGACAGCAAUGAGGAGUGUGGUUUGGCUGCCGCUGCUUACCUCUCCGAGGAAAGUGUGAAAGCGGAAAAGGUGUCAGGCUCACCCUCGUUCCGCCUCACUGUCGCCUUUUCUGUUGUCGUGAAUGGACUGCGCCUCCUUUUGUGCGCGAGGAUUUGCGAUGAUUGCUGAGUGUGCCGGGGCUGUGGUGAUUUGCGUGUGGGUGUCUGCACGGAGUCAUUGUCUCUUCACAUGAUUUGCGUGACCGCCUUCGAGAGGGCAUACGGCUGAGGUGCUCG